AGUGAACGCUGGCGGCAGGCUUAAUCCAUGCAAGUCGAGGGGCAGCAGGGAUGUAGCAAUACAGUUGCUGGCGACCGGCAGAAGGGUGCGGCACAAGUACGCAACUUACCCUGAGCUAGGAGAGAGCCCGGGGAAACCCGACUGAAUACCCCGUAAUAUAAUGCAGUGGCAUCACUUUGUUAUUAAAGCCCCGGCGGCUCGGGAUGGGCGUGCGGCUGAUUAGGUAGUUGGUUGAGGUAACGGCUACCCAAGCCUACGAUCAGUAACUGGUGAGAGAGUACGACCCGUCACACGGGCACUGAGACACGGGCCCGAAUCCUACGGGAGGCAGCAGUAAGGAAUAUUGGGCGAUGGAGGCAACUCUGACCCAGCCAUGCCGCGUGGAGGAUGGUUGCCCUCUGGGUUGUAAUCUUCUUUGAUAGGGGACGAAACCUGUGUAUUCUUACGCAGUUGACGGUACCCUAGGAAUAAGCACCGGCUAACUCCGUG
rnacentral:rRNA from 1 species